UACACUCCUACGGGAGGCAGCAGUGGGGAAUUUUGGACAAUGGGCGAAAGCCUGAUCCAGCCAUGCCGCGUGCAGGAUGAAGGCCUUCGGGUUGUAAACUGCUUUUGUACGGAACGAAACGGCCUUUUCUAAAAAAGAGGGCUAAUGACGGUACCGUAAGAAUAAGCACCGGCUAACUACGUGCCAGCAGCCGCGGUAAUACGUAGGGUGCAAGCGUUAAUCGGAAUUACUGGGCGUAAAGCGUGCGCAGGCGGUUAUGUAAGACAGUUGUGAAAUCCCCGGGCUCAACCUGGGAACUGCAUCUGUGACUGCAUAGCUAGAGUACGGUAGAGGGGGAUGGAAUUCCGCGUGUAGCAGUGAAAUGCGUAGAUAUGCGGAGGAACACCGAUGGCGAAGGCAAUCCCCUGGACCUGUACUGACGCUCAUGCACGAAAGCGUGGGGAGCAAACAGGAUUAGAAACCCUUGUAGUCCCAUG
rnacentral:rRNA from 1 species